UACGGAGGGGGCUAGCGUUGUCCGAAGUUACUGGGCGUAAAGCGCGCGUAGGCGGGUUGGUAAGUCCGCUGUGAAAGCCCGGAGCUCAACUCCGGAGGGUCGGUGGAUACUGCCAGUCUUGAAGGUGCUAGGGGGGAGAUGGAAUUACCGGGUGUAGCGGUGAAAUGCGUAGAUAUCGGUAGGAACACCAGUGGCGAAGGCGGUCUCCUGGGGCAUUCUUGACGCUGAGGCGCGAAAGCUGGGGGGAGCAAACGGG
rnacentral:rRNA from 1 species